GGAAGGAUCAUUACAGAGUUCAUGCCCUUCGGGGUAGACCUCCCACCCUUUGUAUACAUUGCCUUUGUUGCUUUGGCGGGCCGCCUUUUGGCCACCGGCUCCGGCUGGUGCGCGCCCGCCAGAGAACCCAAACCCUGUUUUACAGUGUCGUCCGAGUACUAUAUAAUAGUUAAAACUUUCAACAACGGAUCUCUUGGUUCUGGCAUCGAUGAAGAACGCAGCGAAAUGCGAUAAUUAAUGUGAAUUGCAGAAUUUAGUGAAUCAUCGAAUCUUUGAACGCACAUUGCGCCCCUUGGUAUUCCGGGGGGCAUGCCUGUUCGAGCGUCAUUUCAACCCUCAAGCUCUGCUUGGUCUUGGGCCGCGCCGGCAACGGCGGGCCUCAAAAACAGUGGCGGCGCCAUCGUGUCCCUCAGCGUAGUAAUUCUUCUCGCUGUUGGGCCCCGGUGGCCGCUUGCCAGCAACCCCCAAUUUUUCUAUGGUUGACCUCGGAUCAGGUAGGGAUACCCGCUGAACUUAAGCAUAUCAAUAAGCGGAGGAAAAGAAACCAACAGGGAUUGCCUCAGUAACGGCGAGUGAAGCGGCAACAGCUCAAAUUUGAAAUCUGGCCCUUUCAGGGUCCGAGUUGUAAUUUGUAGAAGAUGCUUUGGGUGUGGCUCCGGUCUAAGUUCCUUGGAACAGGACGUCAUAGAGGGUGAGAAUCCCGUAUGUGACUGGCUGCCUCCGCCCGUGUAAAGCUCUUUCGACGAGUCGAGUUGUUUGGGAAUGCAGCUCAAAAUGGGUGGUAAAUUUCAUCUAAAGCUAAAUAUUGGCCAGAGACCGAUAGCGCACAAGUAGAGUGAUCGAAAGAUGAAAAGCACUUUGGAAAGAGAGUUAAACAGUACGUGAAAUUGUUGAAAGGGAAGCGCUUGCAAUCAGACUUGCGCGCGGCCGAUCAUCCGGGGUUCUCCCCGGUGCACUCGGCCGCGCUCAGGCCAGCAUCGGUUUCGGUGGUGGGAUAAAGGCCUUGGGAAUGUAGCUCCUCUCGGGGAGUGUUAUAGCCCUCGGUGCAAUGCCGCCUAUCGGGACCGAGGACCGCGCUUCGGCUAGGAUGCUGGCGUAAUGGUUGCAAGCGACCCGUCUUGAAACACGGACCAAGGAGUCUAACAUUUAUGCGAGUGUUUGGGUGUUAAACCCAUACGCGGAAUGAAAGUGAACGGAGGUGAGAACCCUUAAGGGUGCAUCAUCGACCGAUCCUGAUGUCUUCGGAUGGAUUUGAGUAAGAGCAUAACUGUUGGGACCCGAAAGAUGGUUUUUGAACUAUGCCUGAAUAGGGUGAAGCCAGAGGAAACUCUGGUGGAGGCUCGCAGCGGUUCUGACGUGCAAAUCGAUCGUCAAAUUUGGGUAUAGGGGCGAAAGACUAAUCGAACCAUCUAGUAGCUGGUUCCUGC
rnacentral:misc_RNA from 1 species